rnacentral:misc_RNA from 1 species
GAUGAAGAACGUAGCGAAAUGCGAUACGUAGUGUGAAUUGCAGAAUUCAGUGAAUCAUCGAAUCUUUGAACGCACAUUGCACCUCUCGGUAUUCCGGGAGGUAUGCCUGUUCGAGCGUCAUUUGUACCCUCAAGCUCUGCUUGGUGUUGGGUGUUUGUUCCGCCUCUGUGUGUGAACUCGCCUCAAAACAAUUGGCAGCCGGCGUACUUGUUUCGGAGCGCAGCACAUUUUGCGAUCCAGAUCAACGUACAGCGGCAUCCAAGAAGCCUUAUUUAACGCUCUUGACCUCGGAUCAGGUAGGGAUACCCGCUGAACUUAAGCAUAUCAAUAAGCGA